AGCAGCCGCGGUAAUUCCAGCUCCAAUAGCGUAUAUUAAAGUUGCUGCAGUUAAAAAGCUCGUAGUUGAAUUUCGGGAUCAAUAUGUUGGUCGUGCCUCGGUACGUACUAGCUUAUUGGUUUCUCCCUUCUGACGAACCAUGAUGUCAUUUAUUUGGUGUUAUGGGAAAUCAGGACUGUUACUUUGAAAAAUUAGAGUGUUUAAAGCAGGCUCACGCUUGAAUACAUUAGCAUGGAAUAAUGAAAUAGGACGUUUGAUUCUAUUUUGUUGGUUUCUAGGAUCGACGUAAUGAUUAAUAGGGAUAGUUGGGGGCAUUAGUAUUCAAUUGUCAGAGGUGAAAUUCUUGGAUUUAUUGAAGACUAACUACUGCGAAAGCAUUUGCCAAGGAUGUUUUCAUUAAUCAAGAACGAAAGUUAGGGGAUCGAAGACGAUCAGAUACCGUCGUAGUCUUAACCAUAAACUAUGCCG
rnacentral:misc_RNA from 1 species